UGGGGAAUAUUGCACAAUGGAGGGAACUCUGAUGCAGCGACGCCGCGUGAACGAAGAAGGCUUUCGAGUCGUAAAGUUCUUUUAUAUGGGAAGAUAAUGACGGUACCAUAAGAAGAAGCCCCGGCUAACUACGUGCCAGCAGCCGCGGUAAUACGUAGGGGGCUAGCGUUGACCGGAAUCACUGGGCGUAAAGGGUUCGCAGGCGGAAAUGCAAGUCAGGUGUAAAAGGCAGUAGCUUAACUACUGUAAGCAUUUGAAACUGCAUAUCUUGAGAAGAGCAGAGGUAAGUGGAAUUUUUAGUGUAGCGGUGAAAUGCGUAGAUAUUAAAAAGAAUACCGGUGGCGAAGGCGACUUACUGGGCUCAUUCUGACGCUGAGGAACGAAAGCGUGGGUAGCAAACAGG
rnacentral:rRNA from 1 species